UUAACACUUAUUAAGCACUACUUGAAAAAUUGGUACUGCGCCUUUAAAUGUGUCUCACGCAGUGUGUACUGUAUGUGUAAUCAGCAGGGAGAAAACACACAUAAAAUGAGGAUAUUUUGUUGAUAUCGUGUUAUUAUCUGAGUAAAACCAGUCCGAAUGAAUGGAUGUCAAAGAAAAUGUGCUUAAAUUGUUAAUGUGAAGCGUUAAAUGUGCUAAGAGAGCCGCUAAGUGUAGCAUCACGAUGAUAGUUUGCUAAUCGUAUUUUUGUUUCCUGGACAAAUUGUUGGAUGAUACGAUUGGAACUUGAAUAAUCUGAGUGGAUUCUUCUUGAUAACUCUUCGUCACCUUGUCGUCAUGUAUCAACUCUUCAGCUCUUGGUUCUUCUGUUCUUACCUAGAUGUUAUUUCUGGGGAAGUGGUAGGACCGAGACUUUACAUCAUGCACAUUGCCCGGGACUGAAUACAUAUUUUUUUUUUGCAUCCCAAGAAAAGGAAGAAGACCCUGAACAUUUACAGAUUGGGGAUAUCAUUUUCAAAAUGCUUGGGUUAUGAUUGUAUUGUUAAUAUUUGUUUCAAGUUAAUUGUCAGUUUGUUUUCAUUACUUGGGUUUUCUGAAGUGCUUGAACAGGAAAAAAACAUUCACAUAGAUUGCCACAAUAUACAUUACUGGCUAACCGUUUCUCUGUGUGUGUGUGUGUGUGUGUGUGUGUGUGUGUGUGUGUGUGUGGCACUGAUUCAUUUUUUUUAAAUAUUGCCUUUAAUAAACCUUUAUGAUGCUUUCA